AAACAAGGUGCCAGAAUAAAAAAAAUCAAAUGCUAUUUUCAUUAUAGCAUUCCUUUACUCUGCAACCUAAAGUGACUCUCAGGGCAUUGUCACAUCAAAGUUAAAGUCCUCAGCUCUGCAGUCACAAUUCGCUAAGUUUUUCUUCCUAAGUUUCCUCCUUCUCUUAGCUAUCUACCACUGCUCUCUGUCCUUGCUCCCUCUCUCUCCCUUCUUGGAAAUCUCCUCUGCUGCUGCUGCUGCUGCUAAGUCGCUUCAGUCCUGUCUGACUCUGCGCGACCCCAUAGACGGCAGCCCACCAGGCUCCUCCAUCCCUGGGAUUCUCCAGGCAAGAACACUGGAGUGGGUUGCCAUUUCCUUCUCCAAUACAUGAAAGUGAAAGUGAAGUUGCUCAGUCAUGUCCGACUCUUCUCGACCACAUGGACUGCAGCCUACCAGGCUCCUCCGUCCAUGGGAUUUGCCAGGCAAGAGUACUGGAGUGGGGUGCCAUUGCCUUCUCCUGGAAAUCUCCUCUACUCUAUGAAUCCCAGGAAUCUGCAGAACUAUUUCACCACAAGAUAUGACCUAGUUUUAUAUUUCUGGGGGGAAAUGAAUUCACAUCUAGAACUCAGGAGUGAACAAAUAAGAUCAAGAAGCAAAAAGAAGCCAAAAGCAACCCACAGAAGACUUCAAUAUGAACAAGAUAAAUUUAUCUUCAAAGACAUAUAUUAAAAGUUGAGAAAUAAUUCAUCUGAACCAGAGAAGUGUAUUAAUACUACCAAGUAAAAUGCAUGUGGGACAAGUGUAUCCCCAUAUCCCAGGGACCUCACCAUUCCCACACAAGGAGUGAGAUAAUGGGAUAUUGCAUCUCUUUUGUCUCUGAAUCUUAAGCUAUAUUGCUGUGAUGUUGCUCUGAGGAAGUUUCUAGAAAGUUCUGAUUGCACUAUAUCCAUGUUUUAUAAUCCAGAAAUUAAACUGUAGUAGAUUCAGUUAGAGGUUGAUAAUGUGCUGCCACUUCAUAGUUUAGAGGUGGCUGCAUUUUAGUGGCUUCCCUGGUGGCUCAGACUGUAAAGAAUCUGCCUGCAAUGUAGGAGACCAGGUAUGAUCCCUGGGUUGGGAAGAUCCUGUGGAGAAGGAAAUGGCAACCCACUGUAGUAUUCUUGCCUGGAGAAUCCCAUGGACAGAGGAACCUGGAGGGCUACAGUCCAUGGGGUUGCAAAGAGUUGGACACGACUGAGUGACUAAGCAUGCACACACACAUUUUAAUGAUGGGUCAAAUGAUUCACUUUUCAUUAAAAUGCAAAAAUGCCCUGGCAUCUCCUCCCACCUGACAAAUGCCAAGAAAAAAAUGUAGAAAAUGAUCAUAAUUUUAACAUAAAAAAUGUAGUUGGAUGACACUGAUUUUUCUAAACUAUGUCAGCAUCUUAUUUUUAAAACAAACUAAUGCUAUUUUACUUCUCAGAUGAUGCUUAUCCUUGAAUGGUCCAGGGAAAGGACCUCUCAUCUUGACCAUGUGUGAUAUUAUGUCAUCACAAGCUUUGAGGCUUCUUCUUUAUAUCCUGAUCAGACAGUGAUCACCUCAGUUUUCACCAGCAUCUAGAGCGGUGGGACUCAAACAGGUGAUUCUGUGCCACCCCCAGAGACAUUCGAAAAUUUUGGAGACAAUUUUGUGGUCCCAACUUGGGGGUGCUGCUGGCAUCUAGUGGACAGAACCCAGGCCGCUGCUCGACAUCCUGCAAUGUACAGGCGAUCCAUCUACAACAAAGAAUUAUCCAGCCCCAGAAGUCAGUGGUGCUGAGAUUAAGAAACUCUGAUGUAGAGAGGAAAGCAUCUAGAAAAGAGGGGAGCAAACAAACCUGUUUGCUUCCUAAAAUUAGGCAUUAGCUUCUGUCUCUCUGGCUGCUGCCUCAGCAGAGAGCGCCAGAACUCAGUUUCAGGCAACCAGGAAUUCCUGAUGGGAUUACCCUCAGCUGGUUGGAGCUUCCACUUGCCUUUUCUUUUUUUUCCUACUCUACAAACCAAGUCCUGUGAGAGAGCUGCCUGAAUUUCAUCCUAAGUUCUCUCACUCUGAAUUUAGAUCUCAGGACUCUGCCUCGUCAAAAUUCAAAUUAAGGCAACAAAAACAUGUAACUUCCUUGAAGCAGAGACUUCCAAAAUCAAGGGCAAUGAACCUUUGAAAUGAGGCCCUGAGAACUGAAGCCCUGAUAGAAAAGAUGUUUUAUUUCUAACUCCCUCCCUGUAUUUUUCACAUGGUGCCUACUGUCUUCCCUGGCUCCUAUUACAUUUGUGCUUAUAUUACAUUUUGUUAUAGAAAACUUGACUUUAGAGUUCUGACCAUUCAAGAGAAGGAUUAAAUAUACAUUUCCUAUGCUGCUGUCUGCCUAUUUUGUCAAAGAACAUGAGUUUCAGGGAAAAUGGAUAAAAAGCCAUAGAUCAGGUUCUAAAUAUUAGUACUUAGCACAUAGCAGACCUUCAAUAAAUGUUUGUUGAAUGAAUGAAUAAAUGAAUGAGUGGAAAUGAUAGGAGCCUAUGAACAUGCGCAAGGUGGCUUGGUCUAGUUUCUAGUUUUCUUAAGGAAACUACAUUCGGCUUUACCAGCCUGCCAAGUCUCCACCUGGGAACAUACACUAGGCGUGAGGCAAAUCUCCCAUUUGAGGGACAAUACAUAUCACUGCACAAACCCAUUACCC
ensembl:lncRNA VTCN1 V-set domain containing T cell activation inhibitor 1